UAAGCGGAGGAAAAGAAACUACAAGGAUUCCCCUAGUAACGGCGAGUGAAGCGGGAAGAGCUCAAGCUUGAAAUCUGGGGCGCUUGCGUCCACAGAAUUGUAGUUGAGAGAAGUGCUUUCACCGGGACGAGCGAUGGCCUAAGUUGCUUGGAACAGCACGUCAUAGAGGGUGAGAAUCCCGUCUGUGGUUGGUCGGUCCCUCGGAACGAUGCACUUUCGAAGAGUCGGGUUGUUUGGGAAUGCAGCCCAAAAUGGGUGGUAAACUCCAUCUAAAGCUAAAUAUUGCCACGAGACCGAUAGCGAACAAGUACCGUGAGGGAAAGAUGAAAAGCACUUUGAAAAGAGAGUUAAAAGCACGUGAAACCGUUGAAAGGGAAACGCGCUCGGCUAGCAAUGCGCGUCUGUGGUUCAGCCGGCUAGUCUUGUCGAGCUGUCGUUGUGUGGAUCCGAAUGGACUACCUGCGGUGGCGGCGGUGGGCGAGCUAUGGUGCACUCCACGGGCGUGCGCGUCAGCGUCGGUUCUCGACGGACGACAAGGUGCGUGGAAAAGGUAGCUCGGUCUUCGGACUGAGUGUUACAGAUCCGUGUGCUGGGUUCGUCGUGGGACCGAGGAGAGAGAUGAUCGCUGCGGCACCUGCCUCUCGGGGCUAGCCAGCUGUUGCCAGGUGUGCGCCAGAUGCUGAGGACUGCACGCAGUGCUCGGUGUUGAGGUGUGAUCUGGUGGUGGUGUGGGUAUAGAGGUGCCUAGGACGCUGGCGUCCAAAUGGCCGUGCGCGACCCGUCUUGAAACACGGACCAAGGAGUCUAACAUGUGCGCGAGUCUUAGGGUGUGCAAGCCCUCGGGCGCAAUGAAAGUGAAGGUUCGGCGCUAGUCGAGCUGAGGUGAGAGCCGCUGCUGGCCUGUUGCCACGGUGGCGCAUCAUCGGCCGGUCCAUCCUGCUCUCAGGGGGAUCCGAGCAAGAGCGUAUUUGUUGGGACCCGAAAGAUGGUGAACUAUGCCUGAAUAGGGUGAAGCCAGAGGAAACUCUGGUGGAGGCUCGUAGCGAUUCUGACGUGCAAAUCGAUCGUCAAAUUUGGGUA
rnacentral:rRNA from 1 species